GCAUUGGUGGUAUAGUGGUGAGCACAGCUGCCUUCCAAGCAGUUGACCUGAGUUCAAUUCCCAGCCAACGCA
rfam:Callipepla squamata strain Texas jcf7180005234194, whole genome shotgun sequence.